UGUGGGUCAGCAGUAAUUGAGCCCAGCAAUGUUUACACCACUGCUGGCCACUCUGAGGGAUUCUACCCGGGUCUGGGGUCAGAUUCGAAGGAGUUUUUAUACCCAAAAGGAGGAUUUUUCCAGUUUUGGAGGAUCGGUGUGGACAAGACUGAUAAGGCUGAUGAUGUCUCUGAAGCGCCGGCUGCUCUCCAUGUUGUUGUGUUGUGUUUACUGUGUGGCUUCGCUCUUCUGCCUCCAUCCCAACACAAACAACUGCUUCUCUGUUGGAGCUCGGAACCUGGCGUCAGUGUUCCAGCAGAUUUACCAGCGUGUGAUUCGGCUGCUGAGGACGACACUGUGAUUCCAGCUGACAUCCACUAUGGAAGAAGAUGAGGAACCAGAGGAGGAACCAGAGGAGGAACCAGAAGAGGAACGUUCCACUCCUUGACCGUGGAGUUUCCAUCUACACUGCAGAUGUUCUCUGACCAGAUGUAGGCGACAACAGCACCUAAAAAUAUCUAUUUUUCUACAGAUGAACGCUGACGUUGUGGAUGUUUGCCGUGUGAGAUGUGACUGAGGUGGAACGUCCUCUUUUAAACUUUAUAAAUUCCCUGUGAGAACCAAGAACACGCCGACUGAAACACCUGAACCAGUCGUGGUGCAACAGGAUGUUCAGGAUGAUUCUCCUGGCUCCUCCUGGAGGACCUGAGACAUUCCCAGGCCAGAUGAGAUAUAAACUCCAGCUGAGGCGUUCUAAUCAGAACCGCCUCCAUAUGAAGCGACUCAAGCAGCAUCUAAAGCAGCAACUCUAACUGGGUUCUCAUGCAGAUAUAGGAAGGAGAACGUUUGGUUCCAGUGAAGCUUUCCAGUCACAGAGUUGAUCACAUGAUUUCAGAUGGAAUGUUUGAGGUGAAUGAAUGGAUUUUUAACUUUCUGUCUUAUUUGUUGUGGUGGACAACUUUACCCUUUUUUUACUUUUUGUAUGAGAUGAUUGACAUUAAAACUCAGAUCAAACCAAA